rnacentral:rRNA from 1 species
UACAGGGGGUGCAAACGUUGCUCGGAAUCAUUGGGCGUAAAGCGCACGUAGGCGGUUCGUUAUGUCGGAUGUGAAAGCCCUUGGCUUAACCGAGGAAGUGCAUCCGAAACCAUCUGACUAGAGUCCGGAAGAGGAGAGUGGAAUUCCUGGUGUAGCGGCGAAAUGCGCAGAUAUCAGGAGGAACACCGGUGGCGAAGGCGGGUCUCUGGGCAGUAACUGACGCUGAGGAGCGAAAGCGUGGGGAGCGAACAGG